rnacentral:rRNA from 1 species
GACGAACGCUGGCGGCGUGCUUAACACAUGCAAGUCGAACGGAAAGGCCCCUUUGGGGGUACUCGAGUGGCGCACGGGUGAGUAACACGUGAGUAACCUGCCCUUGACUUCGGGAUAACUUCAGGAAACUGGGGCUAAUACCGGAUAGGAAUCCUUGCUGCAUGGUGGGGGUUGGAAAGCUUCGGCGGUUUUGGAUGGACUCGCGGCUUAUCAGCUUGUUGGUGGGGUAGUGGCUUACCAAGGCUUUGACGGGUAGCCGGCCUGAGAGGGCGACCGGCCACAUUGGGACUGAGACACGGCCCAGACUCCUACGGGAGGCAGCAGUGGGGAAUAUUGCACAAUGGGCGGAAGCCUGAUGCAGCAACGCCGCGUGCGGGAUGACGGCCUUCGGGUUGUAAACCGCUUUCAGCAGGGGCGAAGCUUGUGGUGACGGUACCUGCAGAAGAAGCACCGGCUAACUACGUG